AUACGUAGGUGACAAGCGUUAUCCGGAUUUACUGGGCGUAAAGGGCGUGUAGGCGGUCUUGCAAGUCAGAAGUGAAAUUCCUGAGCUCAACUCGGGCGCUGCUUCUGAAACUGCAGGACUUGAGUGCUGGAGGGGAUAGCGGAAUUCCUAGUGGAGCGGUAAAAUGCGCAGAUAUUAGGAAGAACACCGGUGGCGAAGGCGGCUAGCUGGACAGUAACUGACGCUGAGGCGCGAAAGCGGGGGGAGCAAAAAGGAUUAGAUACCCUGGUAGUCCACGCUGUAAACGAUGAAUACUAGGUGUAGGGGGUAUCGACUCCCUCUGUGCCGCAGUUAACACAAUAAGUAUUCCGCCUGGGGAGUACGGCCGCAAGGUUGAAACUUAAAGGAAUUGACGGGG
rnacentral:rRNA from 1 species